rnacentral:rRNA from 1 species
GCGAACGGGUGAGUAAUGCAUCGGAACGUACCCCGUAGUGGGGGAUAACCCGGCGAAAGCCGGGCUAAUACCGCAUAUGCUCUACGGAGGAAAGCAGGGGACCUGAAAGGGCCUUGUGCUAUGGGAGCGGCCGAUGCCCGAUUAGCUAGUUGGUGAGGUAAUGGCUCACCAAGGCGACGAUCGGUAGCUGGUCUGAGAGGAUGAUCAGCCACACUGGGACUGAGACACGGCCCAGACUCCUACGGGAGGCAGCAGUGGGGAAUUUUGGACAAUGGGGGCAACCCUGAUCCAGCCAUGCCGCGUGCGGGAAGAAGGCCUUCGGGUUGUAAACCGCUUUUGGCCGGGAAGAAAAGGCGCGGGCUANUACUCCGCGUUCUUGACGGUACCGGCAGAAUAAGC